rnacentral:rRNA from 1 species
CUUGAUAAAAUAUAAGAGGUCCAGCCUGCCCGGUGAUAUAAUUAAACGGCCGCGGUACCCUGACCGUGCAAAGGUAGCAUAAUCACUUGUUCUCUAAAUAGGGACUCGUAUCAACGGCAUCACGAGGGUUAUACUGUCUCCCCCCUCUAAUCAGUGAAACUGACCUCCCCGUGAAGAGGCGGGGAUAUUUAUACAAGACGAGAAGACCCCAUGGAGCUUUAAACCCAAUAACAACCUUCACCAAAGUACCUUAAAAAUGAAGAGGCACUGUUUAUUGGUUUUAGGUUGGGGUGACCACGGAGAAAAACUAAACCUCCAUGACGAAUGGACCUUAAACCUAAUCUAAGAGCCACUACUCCAAGAAUCAUUAAUUUGACAUAAUUUGAUCCGGCAACCGAUCAACGAACCA